CAGCAGCCACGGUAAUACGAAGGGUGCAAGCGUUAAUCGGAAUUACUGGGCGUAAAGGGUGCGUAGGCGGUUGUUUAAGUCUGUUGUGAAAUCCCCGGGCUCAACCUGGGAAUGGCAAUGGAAACUGGACGGCUAGAGUGUGUCAGAGGAUGGUGGAAUUCCCGGUGUAGCGGUGAAAUGCGUAGAGAUCGGGAGGAACAUCAGUGGCGAAGGCGGCCAUCUGGGACAACACUGACGCUGAAGCACGAAAGCGUUGGGAGCAAACAGGAUUAGAUACCCCCGUAGUCCCUGUCUCUUAUAC
rnacentral:rRNA from 1 species